rnacentral:rRNA from 1 species
UACGUAGGUGGCAAGCGUUGUCCGGAAUUAUUGGGCGUAAAGCGCGCGCAGGCGGUCCUUUAAGUCUGAUGUGAAAGCCCACGGCUCAACCGUGGAGGGUCAUUGGAAACUGGGGGACUUGAGUGCAGAAGAGGAAAGCGGAAUUCCACGUGUAGCGGUGAAAUGCGCAGAUAUCGGGAAGAACACCCGUGGCGAAGGCGGCUCUCUGGGACGGUACUGACGCUGAGACGCGAAAGCGUGGGGAGCGAACAGG